UGCUGAUUUUUGUCAUAGUUGUGUCAUUGUUCAUAUCGUUUGUUUAACCUUUGUUGGGAUUUUGGGAAUUUUUCAUUUCGGUUGAAGUUGUAUGUUUGUCCUUCGUAAAUCUUUAAUCUGGGUUCCUGUUAGUUUAUUAGGUAUUUUUGUUCUUGUUUUCUUUUUCUUGAUUAUUAAUAGCAUUUUAUUUAUAUGUGUUGGUGGUUCAUUGUUUCUUUUCUUUUUCCCUUCGCCGUUUGAGUUUCGCGCGUCAGAUAUUCGGCUCCCUCUUUUUCUGUUUCUAUGUUGCCUGCACUGUCUUGAGGCUCGCGUGUUUUCGUGUUCCUCGCAAUCAUAACCUUUAACUGUCAUUCUGUACCUACUGCUCAUUUGUUUGUGUUUUUCGUGGAUUCUUGUUUUUAACUUAGUUGUGGGUUUGUCGUUCUGUGUUUUCUUUAUCAUUGUUUAUAUGCUGUUUAUUUUUUCAGGUUUUAAUUUUUGGGGUGAUCGUGUCGACAGUUUGGACAAGUAGUAUGUUGUAUGCUCAGUUUUUACGGAGUUGACAAUGGGUUUGGUUAUUGUUCGUUGGAACUGCCCUGAUUAAUUCUUAAGGUCUGUGAGGUGUUUUUUCAUGUUUCCCUAUUUGUUCAGGAUUCUGUCGGCCUGUGUCUGGCAUUGGUUUAGUUGAUUCCAUGUUCAAGGAGCUUGAGGUUUUUCCGUUCUUAUUAUUUUCAACUUAAUUAUGAACUGUCAUCUUAUGUUAUUUCUUAGCCUUGUAUAAUUCAGUUAUAAUUUUUCAGGUUUUGGAUCGAACAUUUGAAUGGAUAUUUUAACUGGGAUUCACGUGGAUUUUCUGUCUUAUACCGGUACAGUUUCCGUUCUCCUUUACUCCCAUUCUGUAUAAAUGGUAAUUUAAUGGUGCGUGUCCUGUCAGUAUAUAGGUAUUAAUUCAGUUAGUAUUGUUGAAUGGCCUUUGUUUGACGGCUGCCAUUUGUUCCAGUCUUUCAGGAGUUUUGCCGUUCUAAUGGCUACCUCUUCUAUUUUCAUUGUUAAUGUUGGAGUCGCGAGCAUUGCCUCCAUUGCUCUUGUCGUUGUGUAUGCCUUCCCACCAGAUUAUCGAACCGAAUGUUAAUCUGGGAGUAUCGCCGUCAUAUCUCUGUCGCUGAAUUGCGGCAGUAAUACCGGUUUUAUUCUAUUGGUUCGCUACUGCUCCGGAGGCUGCCCUGGAUCUAUGCAAGUUUAUCUGUACGAAUUUUAGACCGUCCAUUUUGGUCGUCUGGGUCUAUGAUUAUUUCAAUAGUUCUGAUCUUGUCUUCUGAUUAGUUUCUUAGCUGUAAGGUAUUUUUCAUGUAUCUUUUUGUAGUGUUAUUUUCUUAAUGUAAUUUUAUUUUAUCUUA